rnacentral:rRNA from 1 species
GAUGAACGCUGGCGGCGUGCCUAAUACAUGCAAGUCGAGCGAACGGACGAGAAGCUUGCUUCUCUGAUGUUAGCGGCGGACGGGUGAGUAACACGUGGAUAACCUACCUAUAAGACUGGGAUAACUUCGGGAAACCGGAGCUAAUACCGGAUGAUAUUUUGAACCGCAUGGUUCAAAAGUGAAAGACGGUCUUGCUGUCACUUAUAGAUGGAUCCGCGCUGCAUUAGCUAGUUGGUAAGGUAACGGCUUACCAAGGCAACGAUGCAUAGCCGACCUGAGAGGGUGAUCGGCCACACUGGAACUGAGACACGGUCCAGACUCCUACGGGAGGCAGCAGUAGGGAAUCUUCCGCAAUGGGCGAAAGCCUGACGGAGCAACGCCGCGUGAGUGAUGAAGGUCUUCGGAUCGUAAAACUCUGUUAUUAGGGAAGAACAUAUGUGUAAGUAACUGUGCACAUCUUGACGGUACCUAAACAGAAAGCCACGGCUAACUACGUG